UACGUAGGCAGCGAGCGUUGUUCGGAAUUACUGGGCGUAUAGAGUGUGUAGGCGGUGCUCUAAGUUCGGUGUGAAAUCUCCCGGCUUAACUGGGAGGGUGCGCCGGAAACUGGAGUGCUCGAGCGUGGGAGAGGAAAGCGGAAUUCCUGGUGUAGCGGUGAAAUGCGUAGAUAUCAGGAGGAACACCUGCGGUGUAGACGGCUUUCUGGACCAUUGCUGACGCUGAGACACGAAAGCGUGGGUAGCAAACAGG
rnacentral:rRNA from 1 species